GAUGAAGAACGUAGUGAAAUGCGAUAAUUAAUGUGAAUUGCAGAAUUCAGUGAAUCAUCGAGUCUUUGAACGCACAUUGCGCCCCCUGGUAUUCCGGGGGGCAUGCCUGUCCGAGCGUCAUUGCUGCCCUCAAGCACGGCUUGUGUGUUGGGCCUCCGCCCCCCGGCUCCCGGGGGGCGGGCCCGAAAGGCAGCGGCGGCACCGCGUCCGGUCCUCGAGCGUAUGGGGCUUCGUCACCCGCUCCGUAGGCCCGGCCGGCGCCCGCCGGCGACCCCCCUCAAUCUUUCCAGGUUGACCUCGGAUCAGGUAGGGAUACCCGCUGAACUUAAGCAUAUCAAUAAGCGGAGGA
rnacentral:misc_RNA from 1 species